ensembl:lncRNA
GUCUGAAAUUUUAGUUUGUACUGACUUCGCUAGUGCUUUUUAUGUAGCCUGUUGUAAAAGUAGGCAAAUAUCUAGAUGAGUUGAUGUACCCCCUGGAAGCUCUCUAAGUACCCCCGGGGUACACGUACCCUUGGUUGAGAAUCAUUGCUUUAACCUACAGCGCUGAUGGGCUUUGCUGCAUCGCUUAUCUGGGGUACAGGGAGCCUCUGCCCUAGGUAACACAGGGCUUAACAUGCCACCAUUUGUAUCUUCCUUAGCUUUGGGUAUUCCCUAUCCUGCCUGCCUGGCCUGGGCUUGUCACCAGGUAACACAGAGAUCCCUGUUCUCUGACCCUCUCAGAGCAAUGUCUUGUACGGUUCGAUGGGAGCCAAGAUUAGAGCAGACAUGCAUAGCCAGGGAGGAGAACUGCACAGCUAAACACUGCAAGAAGCUGCUUUAGACUGCCAUGUGAAUCCCUACAAAGUAUUUACAGAAAACAGCAGCUGGGUUUUCAUUUUAACUAUGAUGACUUUACAUUUUGGUGACAUUUUUAAAUGACAGUUUACCUUCAGAUAUGAAUAUGUGGUGAGAUACGUCUUGCAGUGUUGAUUUGUAGACAAGUCACUCUCUUAGCACAGUACCUGAUCUAAUAAUCCCGUCUCUCCAGAGACCAGAUUGUCCCACUGAUGUCCUCAUCAAGAUUUGCCAAGAACUGAAUCACACAGUGUCCACCGAACAAUUGUGUGCCCACAAUCUCAAAAUCACAAUCCACUGGCCUCCUUUUUCCUAGAAGCUUACCUUGCCAGGACGGUGAAACGGGUAAGAGAACUGAAUAAGAGAACUUUGAUUCAUACACAUUUCAUUCAGUCUUUUUCUCUUGUGGUAGAUGACAGUAUUGGAACUACAGUACAGUCUUUUCACCAAACUUUUCAGAGGUAUACAGUCUAGUUUCCACAGAUAUGACAGGAACAUGUUUACAUAUUUCUACAUACAAAAAUUUACAAAGAUUUCAAAGACUUUGCCCUUCAGGGACAUACAUUUUUGAAGCACAGCCUUUCCUUCCUUCUGUCUGUGCCUUUGAUCCCAUAAGGAUUUAAAGUUUGUUUUCAUCCUAGUCUACAAGAUAUUAAAUUUGUUACAUUUAGAAGUCAUCCUACUUAAUGCUGCAUCCAAAGAUUAGGUUAUAAUCACAAGAUAACUGAGAUCCCUUUUUAUUUCCUUAAUGUUUCCUUGGUCUCUUUCAUGCCAAAUUUACAGCUUGUCUACAUCAGAAAAUUAUUCUGGAAUAAGCUAGUAAUAGUUAUUCCGUGAAAAUUUCUCCAUGUAGACAAGCCCUAAGUCUUUUUUCAGGCUGCCCCAUAUGCUUGGAACAACCUCCCUUUUCCCAUGUGACAAGCAUCUGAACCUUCUCCCAGACUUUCCUUGGAAACAUUUUGUUAGGCUUCCUUUCCAUCACCUCUGAUUAUAUUUGAUCCCACCCUCUUGCCUGGUCCUUUAAUUGUUUGUUUUGCAGCAGGACAAUUUAGAUAGAUAAGUCUUUUUCUCUGAGAGUUUUCAAAGGUUGUGUUAUUGUAAAAUAUUCAUCUUGCCUAUGACAAUAAAGUAAUUAAUAAAAUAAAAGAACCCUGGGGG